GCAGUGGUGGCCGAGUGGUUAAAGCGCUGGACUAGAAAUCCGUUGAGGCCUCCCCGCGCAGGCUCGAAUCCAGUCUACUGCG
rnacentral:tRNA from 1 species